GGAGAGGUGCCAGAGUGGUCGAAUGGGCCGCACUCGAAAUGCGGUGUACUCGAAAGGGUACCGGGAGUUCGAAUCCCCCCCUCUCCGCCA
rnacentral:tRNA from 1 species